rnacentral:rRNA from 1 species
CACAGAGUUAGCCGGUGCUUAUUCUGCGAGUAACGUCCACUCAUCUUGGGUAUUAACCAAAAGGGCCUCCUCCUCGCUUAAAGUGCUUUACAACCAUAAGGCCUUCUUCACACACGCGGCAUGGCUGGAUCAGGGUUCCCCCCAUUGUCCAAUAUUCCCCACUGCUGCCUCCCGUAGGAGUCUGGGCCGUGUCUCAGUCCCAGUGUGGCGGAUCAUCCUCUCAGACCCGCUACAGAUCGUCGCCUUGGUAGGCCUUUACCCCACCAACUAGCUAAUCCGACUUAGGCUCAUCUAUUAACGCAAGGUCACAAGUGAUCCCCUGCUUUCCCCCGUAGGGCGUAUGCGGUAUUAGCAUCCCUUUCGAGAUGUUGUCCCCCAUUAAUAGGCAGAUUCUAAGUAUUACUCACCCGUCGCCGCUAGGUCAAUUACCGAAGCAAUCCUCCCCCGCUCGACUUGCAUGUAGUUAAGCCUGCCGCCAGCCGUUACAAUCUGACGCCAGGAUCAAACUCUUACG